AUUGACGCGUGGCGGCAGGCUUAACACAUGCAAGUCGAGCGGAGGAGAGGUAGACGUUGCUACUGAUCUUAGCGGCGGACGGGUGAGUAAUGCUUAGGAAUCUGCCUAUUAGUGGGGGACAACAUCUCGAAAGGGAUGCUAAUACCGCAUACGUCCUACGGGAGAAAGCAGGGGAUCUUCGGACCUUGCGCUAAUAGAUGAGCCUAAGUCGGAUUAGCUAGUUGGUGGGGUAAAGGCCUACCAAGGCGACGAUCUGUAGCGGGUCUGAGAGGAUGAACGGCCACAUUGGGACUGAGACACGGCCCAG
rnacentral:rRNA from 1 species